UACGGGGGGGGCAAGCGUUGUUCGGAAUUACUGGGCGUAAAGGGUGCGCAGGCGGUUGGGUGUGUCAGAUGUGAAAUCCCGAGGCUCAACCUCGGAACUGCGUCUGAAACUACUCGACUAGAGUACUGGAGAGGGUAACGGAAUUCACGGUGUAGCAGUGAAAUGCGUAGAUAUCGUGAGGAACACCAGAGGCGAAGGCGGUUACCUGGACAGUUACUGACGCUCAGGCACGAAAGCAUGGGGAGCAAAAGGG
rnacentral:rRNA from 1 species